AAAAUGACCAAUACCUUAUUGUUCUUAACAGUAACAAUAACAAUAAAAAAUGAGAAAUGAUAAAUAUAAAUCAAAUUCUUGGUUUCUCUUAAGAAUAUAUUACCUUGGAUGAGUAAACAGCACGAGGAUUUGAGGCACCUUUCAAUAAGGAUACAUUAAAUAUUUCAGGAAUAUCUGUAAAACCAGGUAACUUAUAUGCACCUGGACCUCUAGUAGCAAGGGCUCCAGUUCUGAGAAAUACUAUUUCUUCUAGCGUAAGAAGACCAUAUCCUUGAGCAAAAGCUCCUUCAAUUUGUCCUAUGUCGAUUGCAGGAUUUAUGCUUUCUCCUAAAUCCAUUACAAUAUCAGUUUGCAAUACCUAUUUGAUGGUCUCCAGUCAGGCAAUCAAUUUCUACUUCAGAACACGCAACGCCAUAUGUAAAAUAAUUAAAUGGAUUUCCUGUGUUAGUUUCGAAUGAGUAUCCUAUAUCAGGAGUUUUAUAAAAACCAGUAGCGGAAAGGCUAAUUCUUUCAAAAUAAGCUGUUUUUAUCCACUCUUCCCACGUUCCAUUUGGAUUCUUAUCUAUUACUGGUUUUAGUCGUUUCAUAAUUUCAUUACAAGCAUACUGAAAUUUUUGUACAACUUUUAAAAUCAUUGUUUAAUUGCAAGUAUACUAUAUUACUCGUAUUGCAAAGAUCGAAAUUUAAGUGAGGGAAAACAAUAAAAAGCAAGUAUGUAUAUAGAUUACAAGUAAUGAGUAAUAGAUUAUUAUAAUAUUAAAGUUUUAAAUAAGAGUAAAAGAAUAGAAGAAAUAAGAAAAAAACGUUGGAAGUAAAUUGAAAGAAAACAAAUCAUUUUUACGUACCAUAAUAGCCAUACCAUUCAAAUCUGAAGCAGCACUAGCUGCUGUAGCAGAUGUAUUUGGUACUUUAUCGGUAGCAGUUUCCAUUAUAUGUAUUUUAUCUGGUUUUAAUUUCAGUGAUCUGCUUGCUACCUAAAUAUUAAAUAGAAAAUGGAGGAGCUGUAAUAUGUAGUGUGUUGAAAACAAAUAUCAUAUAAUAUAUUAUGAUACACAUUACUUGUAAUAAUGUCAGUGAUAAUAUGAAUAACAAAAUGAAUAAAAUUUUUAAAUAUGAAAUAAUAAUUUAAGUGAAAUCAAAAUAGAAAAAUAAAUAGAAUUUACUUGUAUCAUUUUUGUAUGUAAACCUUGUCCCAUUUCAACACCACCAUGACUAAUUAAUACAGAACCAUCUGUAUAAACAUGUACAAGUGCCCCUGCUUGAUUUAAAAACAGUGCAGUGAAAGAAAUACCAAAUUUGGUUGGAACUAUUGCCAAUCCCUUUUUCUUGUACCUAUUUUCUCUAUUGAAAUAGUAUUUAUUAGAGUCAAUACUUUGUAUCAUUGAAACUUCAGAGUACAAUCAUGAUUGUACAAUAAA
rnacentral:misc_RNA from 1 species